GGCCGGCUGGCCCAAUGGCAAGGCGCUUGACUACGACUUCAUGGAAUCAAGAGAUUGCAGGUUCGAUCCCUGCGUCGGUCA
rfam:Penicillium vulpinum strain IBT 29486 PENVTL_contig004, whole genome shotgun sequence.